rnacentral:rRNA from 1 species
CCUACGGGAGGCAGCAGUGGGGAAUAUUGCACAAUGGGGGAAACCCUGAUGCAGCGACGCCGCGUGAGUGAAGAAGUAUUUCGGUAUGUAAAGCUCUAUCAGCAGGGAAGCAAAUGACGGUACCUGACUAAGAAUCCCCGGCGUACUACGUGCCAACAGCCGCGGUAAAAAGUAGGGGGCAAGCGUUAUCCGGAUUUACUGGGUGUAAAGGGGGCGUAGACGGCCCGACAAGUCAGAAGUGAAAGCCCAGGGCUCAACCCUGGGCCUGCUUUUGAAACUGCCGGGCUUGAGUGCAGGAGAGGUAAGCGGAAUUUCUAGUGUAGCGGUGAACUGCGUAGAUAUUAGGAGGAACACCAGUGGCGAAGGCGGCUGACUGGACUGUAACUGACGUUGAGGCUCGAAAGCGUGGGGAGCAAACAGGAUUAGAUACCCGAGUAGUC